GGGGGGGGGGGGGGGCGGGGCGAGGGGAUGCAGGGGGGGGGGAGGGAGGGGGCGUGCGCCGGGAGGCAGCGGCGGGCGGGGGAGUAAUGCCUAGGAGUCUGCCGGGUAGGGGGGGAGAACGUCCGGACACGGGCGCUAAUAACGCAUACGUCCUGAGGGAGAACGUGGGUGAUCUUCGGACCCUACGCGAUCAGAUGAGCCUAGGGAGGAUUACGUAGUACGUGGUGUAAAGGACUACCAAGCAGACGAUCCGUAAAUGGGGUUAGAGGAUGAUCAGUCACACUGGAACUGCGACACGGUCCAGACUCCUACGGGAGGCAGCAGUGGGGAAUAUUGGACAAUGGGCGAAAGCCUGAUCCAGCCAUGCCGCGUGUGUGAAGAAGGUCUUCGGAUUGUAAAGCACUUUAAGUUGGGAGGAAGGGCAGUAAGUUAAUACCUUGCUGUUUUGACGUUACCAACAGAAUAAGCACCGGCUAACUUCGUG
rnacentral:rRNA from 1 species